rnacentral:lncRNA from 1 species
UCUGAGUACACUCCCUGCAGCUAGCAACAAGAUCUGUAUCCUAUGACCCAGGACAAACAGUAGCAGAAAUGUCAGUUUGGCUGACAGCAGUAAAAGGAAGUGUCUCCAAGAGGAGCCCAGUGAGAGCAGGGGCUUUGAGGGAGGCUUCCUGGAGGAAAUAAACAUGAGAAGCUAUGGGAGAGGAGACAGCGGGGCACCUGCCCUGUCUACUGGGGCCCAUUCCUCAAAGAUAGCAGCUCUCAGGCUCUUCCCCACCCUUCUUCUUCACACCAUCUCUUUCCACAACCUCAAAUGUGAGCUUUCUCUAUAAAUGAUGCUAAUGUCACCCCUAGAUGAUGGCAAGGUCCCUUCGGAUGAGGUGGCUUCUCUGUGUCCCAGAAGACGUCAGAAUGGGCUGAUCAAGGCUAGUUCCACUCCUGCCCAGCCAAGGCAGGAUUUCUGCACCUCGGAACCAUGAGACAAAGCGACCGGGAAGGUUUGUGACUUGGCCCUUGUGGCAAAGCCAGUCAUCCAUUCUUUGGAGUACAGCAUGCAUGACCUUCCAUCCAGGCCCUUCCUGGUGGGAAAGCAGGUGUCGCUCCCGCUGAAGUCAGUUCUUCAGAGUUUCCGGAAAGAUCUGGGGUGAGACAGUGCCCAUGUCAUGGACUGAGAGCACCUUUCCCACUGAUGCCUUCCCAGCCAUCCAAUUCAUGCCUUAUCUACAAUGUCCUGAGAGAUGGAACAUCUUGGUCAAGGUCAUUCACCUCCUCGAUGGAAGAACCAGCAGCUGCAGUCAGGUCUUCACAGUUCCCAUGGCCGCUCACUGUCAGAUGAAGACCUGUGGUUGGGGACUUCUUCCCUAUUCAGGGCCAGGAAGGAACUGCUCAGUGACUAAGAGUCGGUUCUCAUCAGCCUCUGUUGCCAGCCCACCAAACCUCUCCUCACAGGGACUGACACACAGGCCACCUCCUGCUCUAUGAUGUAAGGCUACCUGGACCUUGUUCCCUCUGGUGUUCCUUUGUCGCCUUUGCUGGGCAUCCUAAGGCUUUGUCACUUCCCUGGGUAUCACCACCCUUCGGUCUCACUGACCUAAGCAGAUCCAGCCAGCUCUCUUGGCACUGCCCACCCCGUCCCAGGCCACUCAUUUCUCCAACCUCUCCCCCAGCUUUCAUCUUGAACAAAGCUUCUGAACUUAAAAGCCCAUAAUUCCUUGUCUCCCCCACCCUUCUGAUUCCGUUCCCCCAUGGUGGGGACACACUGGCGUCACUUACAGUGACAUUACCCGGCCCCUCAGCAUAGCCAAUCAGGCCCCUGGCAAAGCUCUCCCCAUGCUCCCUCGCGCAUGCGCAGCUGGAGCUGGCUGAGACUUUGGACAGCCUCCAGGCUAUCACUUCAUGAUCUAAAGAGUUCAAACUGAGGCUCAGAGAGACUCAGGGAUCAGUACAAAGUUAAAGGGAAUCUUGAAGAAGACUCGGGCCUCCUGUGGCUUAUGCCCUGAAUUACUUGGGGACAGGCCAGUGUUUCCUAGUCACUUGCCUUCCUCAGUCCUGUGACCAGCAGACUCAUUGAUCUUCUUGGGAGUAUCUCUUACUGUGACAGCAGUGUAAAAACCACAGAAAGCUGCACCAGGUUAACAUAGGACAAAAAGCUAGUGGGCAGGGAAGUCUGGAGCCCUUCCCCACCUGGCUUCAUCUAACAGACAGAACAUGUACUCCUAUAUGUUGAGUCUCUGAGGUACAAACAUGAAAGGGGGUGCUAUGGAAAUGUCUUAGAACGACUAAUUCCUUCUAGUCCAAUGUUUUUGGGGCUUACUAGCCCACUCUUAUUCCUGGACCAGUUUGCCCUUUUUACAUAAAUGGUCUCUAUGUCUGUUUCUAGUCACAUGUCCCUGGUGCAACCUUCUGCCUUGGGACACGAGAUCUUGGAUCUGGUGCCCUGUAGAGGGCAAAAGCCAUAUGCUUACAGAUGGCAAUAGAGAAUCCAGAACUGUUAAACAUGCAGGCUUUCCUCAUCAACCGAAGGGGUGUGCAUGGUUGUUUUCCAUCCAGAAUGCUGGGAAUAGAUGUGUUAAGUACAUUGUAACAUUUAUUAUCUGUAGAGCGAGGCCUCACCCAAAUAACUCACUCUUAUGAAAGAGGCCCCAUGUACUUUGUAAAAGAGUUUGCUAUUAUGCUUAUUGCAGACUCUUCUCCCCCUGUUGUUUCUCAGGCAAUUGAAUGUAUUCUUGUGGAAGAGGUCACAGCUACUUUGUAGAAGACAUGAGCUUUACAAAGGCCUUUAGAUGUAGUUAUGCCUUAAGCUUUGUUGUGAUAACUGUCAAGAGGAAACUUUCCCCAAAGUUCUACUGUGUUUAAAUAGACCAAAAAUAAACUGCUUAGGGUCGGACUCUAGGAGGUUGAA